AUGCAGUCAGAAUGUCAAGAAACCCAACAAGAAUUCACACACAGGACCACGCUGCUGCUGCUUGACCUCACACAAAUGUAUAUGCAUUUGUACUACAGAAAUAAAAUAGCAUUUUACAAAAAGCUGGAGCAAGCCUUCAAAGAAAAAGGUUACAACAUCAGCAAUGAAAAAUUGGGCAAAAAACUUGGCAACAUGAUCACUACUUACAAAAGGGCUAAAGACCGGUGUCGGUCAACAGGAGAGGGAAAAGUUACAUGGGAGUAUUACAAGGAAAUGGAAGACUUAUUUGGGAAAUCUGGAGUUGGGAGUGCACCAUCAGGCACAAUCUGCUCGACUCCUCUGUUCAACACUACCUCAUCCCAGACCAAGUCCUCAAUUGCACAGGCCACAGGCUCCCAAGAACAGCCUCUCCCAGAAGAACAACCAGGUCCCUCCACUGCUAUGCCCUCCAAAGAAAUGCACAGAAGGAGACAAACAACAUCCACAUUCUGUGAAGUUUAUGAAGCGCAUUCAGAGAGGAGAACAGCUGCUCUAGAGUCACUAGUGCGGCCUGACUUGGAGCGCCGAAGAAGGCUUAAAGAGAGGCGGAGAAGGAUGUUUGAAAAAAAAUCUCUUACCUGCCUUGGAGAAAUCAUUGAACAACUAAAAAAAAUCAGUAAAUCCCAGGAAAUGAUAAUCGAUCUAUUAAAAAAUAAAGUUUAACUAUAUAAUCCAUUCCCAUGUGUAUCAUCAUUUUAUUGCUUAUCACAUCAUUAUUAUAGAGAUAACACAAAACAUUCCUCCCUAGACAGGGGACAGUGGUUGACUAGCAGAAUAUAUGUCAAUCAUUUGAUAGUAAGUGCUUAAAAUAAUUGUGUACAAUCCCAUCCACCAGCUCACAAAACAGUCAAAUCAAAAAGCUUCUUAAGAUAAGUUUAAAUAAGUUCUUAUGGAGGGAAUUGUUGAAGGUAGAACAAGUAAAUGUGAUGUUCACAGGCGGCCACAGAUUGCAUCUCUAUGUGAUGCAUCAUUGUGAAUGUGGGCUUCUGGUGGGUAUGGGUCAUCCUCCAUAACAUCUGCCUGCUGAUCCUCUUCAAUUUGGUCACUGGAUUUCAGGCAGAUGUUAUGAAGAAUGCAACAGGCUGUGACUGCAGAAGAAAUGUUCUUUACUUUUUUCAUGUGCAGACAUCUGAGUCUCCUGAAUUUUGAUUUUAAAAUUCCAAAUGCAUGCUCAAUAACUACACGAGCAGAAUUCAGUUUCCUAUUGAAGCGUCUCUGCCUGACAGUCAAGUGGCCAUUGUCUCUGUAUGGCUUCAUAAGCUGAAGCGAGAGAGGGUAUGCAGAAUCUCCAAUUAUAUGCAUGCCCUCAGGAACCAGGGAAUGUGGAUCUUCCUUAAGAAGUCGGCCUACCUCUGACAACCGAAAUGCCCUUGAGUCAUGCCAACUACCAGGGUGACCCACACUGACAUGACAGAACCGCCGCUGACUGUCACAGAAUCCUGUAAGAAUAACAGAAUAGAACUGUUUCCUAUUGAUAUAGGCCACAGGAUUCUCACAGUGCGGUUUUACUAUUGGAAUGUGGCAUCCAUCAACUGCACAGACAGUUUUAGGAAACCCAGCUGUUUCGAAUUCUAACUGUGAUAUGUGUAGGGCUUGUCCUCUGGGCCAGGAGAUGUAAUGUGACAAAUGUGUUAUUACAAGAGAACAGAACUCAUGCAGGUGUGUUGAAACUGUAGAUUUGGUUAUGUUAAAUCUGUCUGCCACUCCUCUAUAGGACUCUUGGUUGGAAAGAGUCCAUAGAGAGGCAAGUAUACUGUUUGUCAGCGGCACCUUAGUCUGCUGUUUAUUCAUGUAAAA
rnacentral:lncRNA from 1 species